ensembl:snRNA U1 U1 spliceosomal RNA
AUACUUACCUGGCAGGGGAGAUACCAUGACCAUGAAGGUGGUUUUGCCAGGGCGAGGCUUAUCCAUUGCACUCAGGAUGUGCUGACGCCUGUGAUUUCCCUAAAUGCGGGUAACUCUACUGCAUAAUUUGUGGGGGACUGCGUUCGCGCUCUCCCCUG